CGACCCAAGUGAAGACGGAAACUUUAGUUCUUCUUAAAGUAAAUGGUCAGACGAAUGACCUUUUCAGAAAAAAAUACCAAUAAUUUAAGUAGAGAAGUUCGAUAUAUAUCGAUUAGAUAAAUCUGUCUUUCCUUUCUUCCAAGUCUCGACUCAUAUUUUGUUAGUAGUUUAUGAUUUAUUUAUUCGUUCCACGACAACAUAUGUAAAACAGUGCAAUUAGUGGUGUUAAGGUUGAAUUUUGGCAUUGGUCUCUUCAGACAGUGAAAUCAAAUGAAAGGUUAUCUGAGAGGAUGCCAGGAGCAGAGAAUAAGUGAGAAUAUUAAUUGUGAGAAGUAAAAUAAUUCACACGAUCAUGCUCAUUAUUAUCUAUUUUCCUUUUUUUUUUUUUUUUCCGUCCCGGCCCGUAGAAAUAUUUGUCUAAGCAAACAAAGAAAUUGAUGAAAAAUUGAUUCUUUUG
rnacentral:lncRNA from 1 species